UCCCUCUUAGCUCAGUUGGUUAUAGUGUUAGCUUUGGAUUUGUAACCCAAGUUGGCCUAUGGUUUUGGGUUCGAAUCCCAUCCUUGGCA